GUACUGUUUUUAACUGUUGGGUCUGUAACACAGAGGGCUGAGUUGUAGUAUUAAUCAGUUGACUUCCUGGGGUCAAUGCUGAGACACCAAUGACAGGUUUCACCUCUGGCCUCCCUCCAAUGGUAACUACUUUAAUUUGCUGCGGUGGUAACUUAGCAUCUCCUGACUGGGCCUGAGUUGUAACUUUCUGAGCCUGGGGUAGUUGGCUAUGGGGUAGUGCUAAAACAAUUGGUGAACCAGACUUGCCCAAAGUUGUUAAAAUUAACUUCUGUCCAUCUGGUUUAAGGGUCUGAUUGCCAAGUUUAAGAUCAGAUGUCUGUGAUACUUUGUUUAAAAUAAUCUGAUUGGCUGAUAUAGUCACAGGAGUCUGAGCACCAAGUUUUUGAAGGCCACUUGGAAAAGCUGGUUUCACUGUGGUAUUAGAAUCUGCUUUAGUAAUUGUGGUAUUCACUGCAACUUGGUUAGUGUGGUUACUGUACACUGUGAUUGGUUCCGUGGAAAUGGGCGUGGCUGUAGAGUCACCAGUAGAAUUUAUGUUGACAAUUUCUUCCAGUUCUGUCUCCAUGGGAAUUGGGGAUGAAACAAUAACAGCCUCAAUACUAUCAUCAUCCACUAAAGUUAUACCAGUGUCCAUUAUUUCCUCUGGAAGCAAACUAUUCACCUCAGCUGGCACCACCUCCAUGAUCGUUCUCCCGCUAGAAAGUUGAUCAGGGUUUGUUCAAAAUCACGCGCCCAGCCCCAUUCCACC
rnacentral:lncRNA from 1 species